rnacentral:rRNA from 1 species
ACGAACGCUGGCGGCGUGCUUAACACAUGCAAGUCGAACGGUAAGGCCCUUUCGGGGGUAUACGAGUGGCGAACGGGUGAGUAACACGUGGGUAAUCUGCCCUGCACUUCGGGAUAAGCCUGGGAAACCGGGUCUAAUACCGGAUAUGAGCUCCUGCCGCAUGGUGGGGGUUGGAAAGUUUUUCGGUGCAGGAUGAGUCCGCGGCCUAUCAGCUUGUUGGUGGGGUAAUGGCCUACCAAGGCGACGACGGGUAGCCG